UACGUAGGGCGCGAGCGUUGUCCGGAAUUAUUGGGCGUAAAGAGCUCGUAGGCGGCUUGUCACGUCGGUUGUGAAAGCCCGGGGCUUAACCCCGGGUCUGCAGUCGAUACGGGCAGGCUAGAGUUCGGUAGGGGAGAUCGGAAUUCCUGGUGUAGCGGUGGAAUGCGCAGAUAUCAGGAGGAACACCGAUGGCGAAGGCAGUUCUCUGGGCCGUAACUGACGCUGAGGAGCGAAAGCGUGGGGAGCGAACAGG
rnacentral:rRNA from 1 species